UUAUUGCGCUAACGCAAUUUAUAGUUUGUUUUAUAUUCGUUUUACGUUACAUAAGUGGGAUGUAGUUUUAAAAAGUAAUUGUAUCGUGACGCUAAAAUGAUUUUUAUUCUACGAUGCACUAAGACGAUUGUUUAUUUUCUGAUUUUUACCUUACCUGCUACAUAUUGUAUAAAUUAUCAAGACGGAUAUAAAAUGAGAGCGGAUAAUUUGAAAGAGUAUGGAGAAAGAUUAUCAAGUCUUGAAGACG